GUGCCGUUUGGGGUUGUAUUCAUGGUUUGUUAGAGGCAGGGAGUCAGGGGAUUGCAACACUCAGGGCUCUGUGAGUAAGAGGGGUGUGCGUCUGGGUCCUUGGUGCAGAAGGUUGCCUGCUCUCAGCGCUUUGUGAAGGGAGCAGUCAGGAUAAUGGGUUUGUAUUGCCUUCUGCUGCUGUUCACCCAUUUAGUUGAGCUGGCACAAGAAUUUGUCUGCAGUCUGCAUUCCAGUCAAAGCCAUGGCCAAGAACAACAGAGUGAAGACAUUGAAAAGAGCCACCCAUCCACAGUGCAUCCCAGCAGGCUGGCUCAGGGCAGAGAUCAGCAUCUGAGCAGAUUGUAGCUUCAAAGCUGCUGCACAGUGGCAGGGAUCAGAAGUCUCUGCUGCUUGGUAUUAUUUGGUGCUGGCCUGCUUCUACACAACCUUCAGCAUCAGGGUGGCCUGUUCUGAUGGGCACUGCUUUCUCCACAACACAAUCUGUCCUGUAGGCUGCUGUUGCUCUCCUCUCCAUGGUUUUAAUUUUUUUCUCUGUUUUGUUGGCAAGGAAGGUAAAACUAAUUUCCCCUCAUAUAUGACAAUGGCAAGAAUAUUGUUGACUCAAUAUUGACUCAAUAGCAUGAGGAUAAAUGUAUUUUUAUACUGUGGUGUAUGUUAAGCUAUUUAUAAAUAUUAUAUCACUUCUGG
rnacentral:lncRNA from 1 species